rnacentral:lncRNA from 1 species
UCGUGUUGUUUAAUUUGUUGAUGAACCAAUUGCAUUGCUGCUAAAACCCUAGGGUUUUUGAACCCAGAAAGAUGAACAUCAAUUGGCUGAGCUACUGUUCCAUUGGCUAGUAGCCAAUCACAACAUUUCCCGUGUCCACUCAAAACGCAGUGUUUUGAUUAAUGAUGCCCAUAAUUACCAAAAUGCCAUGCGCUGACCACUUUGACUCAUUACUCCAUGUUAUGUGUUCAUGUUUGCUUCAAUUAUUCACUCAUCUUCUAAAAU